CCCCUGCUCCUCUUUGGCAAACUCCUCGAUCAGGUAGCGUUGCCUCUCUGUCAAACUCGUUGGAAUGGUGACAACAAAAUGUACAUAAUGAUCGCCAUAGUAACCGGUUUUCCUGUCUUUUAUUCCUUUCCCUCUUAUAACCACCUUAUGACCAGGUUGAGUACCGGGCUUAACCUUGACGACGACAUCUCCCGUAAGGGUCGGUACUUGAAUGGUACCUCCCAAGAUAGCCUGAGUGACACCUAAUGUUGCAUCGACAUGUAUGUCGGAUUCUUUUCUCCGGAAAACAGGAUCCUCUCGAACCUUAAUCGUGACAUAAAGAUCGCCAGGCUGUUCACCAUCAGGAUCUGAUCCACCAUUUCUCGGAAUCCGUAGAGUUUGAUUAUCAUCCACCCCAGGCACCACAUCCAAGUUGACUGAUUUUGUCCCUCUGACGACCUUCUGUCCUCUACAUGACUGGCAGAGGCUCUUGAAACUUUUACCAGCUCCACCACAGGAGGUACAUGGUGCCUGCAUCCUGAACGGGCCAUUUUGCAUGUACACCAUUCCAGCCCCUUUGCAAGUUCUACAUGUUUCAGGUCUUGUUCCUGGAGGGG
rnacentral:misc_RNA from 1 species